rnacentral:sRNA from 1 species
UUCCUGCGCUUUUAACGACACACACGUUUCGACACAUGCAGUAGGGUCCUGUUUUGCAAUAGUUAAGCAUGAUGGGUGCUGUAUGGGAAAUGUGGAGGCUUAAC